UUAGUACUCCUUCUGUCCCAAAAUUCUUGUCUUAGAUUAGUCUAAAUAUGGAUGUAUCUAAUACUAAAACGUGACUUGAUACAUCCGUAUUUAAACAAAUCUAAGACAAUAAUUUUGGGACGGAGGGAGUAUGAU
rnacentral:pre_miRNA from 1 species